GGCUCCUCUACAGCUGAGGAAGCCAUGGGUUUCAGAUGACAUGGCGACAAGCCAGAGGAGAACCAGCCACUCAUAUCAGACAUUCAUCAUCUCAGGAUGGAAGAUGUUUUCACAGUCAUAUAAAGAAGCUUGCUAUAAUCUCUGGAAGAUUAGAUAUCAUAUGGGAAAGAAUCAAGGUGGACAGAGUAACAACCCCAAUAAUCAACCAGCCAGGUUCACAGGACUCUUCAGGACAAUCCAGCUGAAGCCAACAUUAUAACUGACCAAAAUUGGAUGACCAAGGCCAGCCAGUACCAUGUGAUACACAGAUAAGAUAUUCCAGACUGGUUCCUAUCCAAAUGGCUAAUCCACAAAAUAAAGAACAUAUAAGUGGUUAUUGA